GUUUGAUCCUGGCUCAGAGCUAACGUUAGCGGCAGGCUUAACACAUGCAAGUCGAGCGAGAAAGGGGCUUCGGCUCCGAGUAAAAGCGGCGGACGGGUGCGUAACACGUGGAUAAUCUGCCUCGUGGCGGGGGACAACAGUCCGAAAGGACUGCUAAUACCGCAUGUCAGGUCGGAAACUCCGGUUUCUGACGAAAAAGAGGGCGUCCGCAAGGAGCUCUCACCACGAGAUGAGUCCGCGUCCCAUCAGCUAGUUGGCGGUGUAAUGGACCACCAAGGCUUAGACGGGUAGCUGGUCUGAGAGGAUGACCAGCCACACUGGGACUGAGACACGGCCCAGACUCCUACGGGAGGCAGCAGUGGGGAAUAUUGGACAAUGGGCGAAAGCCUGAUCCAGCCAUGCCGCGUGAGUGAUGAAGGCCUUCGGGUCGUAAAGACUCUGUGGGAGGGACGG
rnacentral:rRNA from 1 species